rnacentral:lncRNA from 1 species
CCUGUGUAGUGGUUGGUUCUUCAUUUAAUAAACUGCUUAACUGUUUCUGUGCACAUGAGAGGAAAAGUUCCAAACUAGACAGAUUUCUCUGACGAAUAACUUGGUCAAGCCUUUUCUGCUCCUUAAUAUAUUCCAUUAGUUCCUCUCUUGUCCUUUUAACAGCUUCUUCAAUUGCCUUUUCACUUUGUUUUCGCUCCUCCAUUAAUGCUUCCUUGAUAAUUUCUUCAUUAUGUCUUCUUUGCUCUUGCAUUGCUUCCCAAACAGCCUGGGCAAUCUUCUUGUUAAGUCUCUCAUGUUCUGCUUUCCACAUAUUUCUUUCUUCUUCAUGAAUCUUCUCCAUAUUUCUCCUUUCCUCCUCUACAGCUUUCAGAACAACUUCCUGUACUAUUUCUUUUUCAGCCUUUGCAGCAGCUGCUACAGCCUCCUUACUUCUUUUUCUUUCUUCAUCCAAACAUUUGUCCAGCAUUUCCUUAUGUUUUUGUGACUGCUGCAUCAAAGCCUC